ACCUGAAGUCAAGCUCCCCCACCAUUCGGCGGACAGCGGCUGGAUCAGCAGUGAGCAUCUGCCAGCACUCAAGAAGGACACAAUAUUUCUAUAGUUGGCUACUAAAUGUGCUCUUAGGCUUACUCAUUCCUGUCGAGGAUGAACACUCCACUCUGCUGAUUCUUGGCGUGCUGCUCACCCUGAGGUAUUUGGUGCCCUUGCUGCAGCAGCAGGUCAAGGACACAAGCCUGAAAGGCAGCUUCGGAGUGACACGGAAAGAAAUGGAAGUCUCUCCUUCUGCAGAGCAGCUUGUCCAGGUUUAUGAACUGACGUUACAUCAUACACAGCACCAAGACCACAAUGUUGUGACCGGAGCCCUGGAGCUGUUGCAGCAGCUCUUCAGAACGCCUCCGCCCGAGCUUCUGCAAACCCUGACCGCAGUCGGGGGCAUUGGGCAGCUCACCGCUGCUAAGGAGGAGUCUGGUGGCCGAAGCCGUAGUGGAAGUAUUGUGGAACUUAUAGGCAAGUUACUAGCAAGGUCUACUCUUACAAUCAACUUUGCAGUAAUAUAGUUGCACUCUAUUGAUUAUGGGCCUGCCCUGUGCUAAGCAGUCUGCAUUCCAUCUUCCUUGCCAAAACUUAUAAUACAAAUUUCAUCUUUAUUUUAUAAAUAGGGGAGUUGGGCUGGGUGUGGUGGCUCACGCCUGUAAUUUCAGCACUUUGGAAGGAUCGCUUCAGCCCAGGAGUUUGAGACAGCCUGGCCAAGUGAGACCCUGUCUCUACAAAAAAAAAAAAAAAAAA
rnacentral:sRNA from 1 species